AUUCAGUAUACUAUUUUCUGUUGAAACAUAUGAAAAGUUAUUAUUAUUUCUGUGCUUGCAGCAUGUAAAGCACACUAUUGUUCAUACUUUUUCUUGUUUAUUAUUUUUGACACUUUUUGGGACCUGUUUUUACGCUACAUACACAAUUCAUACAUCAACCUCCUGCAGAGCUGGACGCUGAUGUGACAUGCUGUGACUUCUUGGGGGCGAAGUCUUCUACACCCUGAAAUAUACAGUGGGGCAAAAAAGUAUUUAGUCAGCCACCAAUUGUGCAAGUUCUCCCACUUAAAAGGAUGAGAGAGGCCUGCAAUUUUCAUCAUAGGUACACUUCAACUAUGACAGACAAAAUGAGAAAAAAAACUCCAGAAAAUCACAUUUUAGGAUUUUUAAUGAAUUUAUUUGCAUAUUAUGGUGGAAAAUAAGUAAUUGGUCAAUAACAAAAGUUUCUCAAUACUUGUUAUAUACUUGUUAUAUACCCUUUGUUGGCAAUGACAGGUCAAACAUUUUCUGUAAGUCUUCACAAGGUUUUCACACACUGUUGCUGGUAUUUUGGCCCAUUCCUCCAUGCAGAUCUCCUCUAGAGCAGCGAUGUUUUGGGGCUGUUGCUGGGCAACACAGACUUUCAACUCCCUCCAAAUAUUUUCUAUGAGGUUGAGGUCUGCAGACUGGCUAGGCCACUCCAGGACCUUGAAAUGCUUCUUACGAAGCCACUCCUUCGUUGCCCGGGCGGUGUGUUUGGGAUCAUUGUCAUGCUGAAAGACACAGCCACGUUUCAUCUUCAAUGCCCUUGCUGAUGGAAGGAGGUUUUCACUCAAAAUCUCACGAUACAUGGCCCCAUUCAUUCUUUCCUUUACACGGAUCAGUCGUCCUGGUCCCUUUGCAGAAAAACAGCCCCAAAGCAUGAUGUUUACACCCCCAUGCUUCACAGUAGGUAUGGUGUUCUUUGGAUGCAACUCAGCAUUCUUUGAUUCUGAUCCAACCAUAAAAUCCUUGAUUGUGCCCCUUACCUGAGAGGAUGGAAGUUCAAUAUGUAGCUAGAUGUAGUAGUACAAUGUUAACUAGCUAGCUGGCUCAUUGUUCCCUAUGAAAGUAAGCUAGGCUAGUUAACCAGCCUUUUAGUCAGGUAGCCUAGUCUAAGACAACAACAAUUAAAAGCGUAGAGGCUACUGUAUGACAGUCAUAUACCGUUUUGGCAACAUGAAAGAGAGGAGGAUGGUAUUGGCAUUCCUCUACAAGUAGAGUGAGUCAACAUGUUUUUUCUACACAUAUGCACACAUACACACAGAAAUCACUACCAUGGACAGCCACAUGAUAUUUAGGUUAUAUGUUGAUUGAACGAAAUUGUUUUUGUUAUCUUUAAGUUGUCCAUGUAUUAUACUCACCAUAAGUGAUUUGAUGAUGUUGAAAUGUUGAAGUUCAAAUGGUACUGGAAUGAUGUUAAUGGAGGCAACUCCGUUUUUUUUCUACUUGCGGUAACUACAUGGUUCUAAAUCAAUAGUUGUUUAGUAGUCCGAAAAUUCAGAAACAUUAACUUGCUUGACCAUGCUGUAGGUCAUGUAACUGUUUGUUAAUGCAAUAUGUGACUCGUUUCAGGAAACGAAGCGUAUGUCACAAGUCAUGACUUCACUUUUAUUUAAAUGUUUUAUCAAAAUGCGUUUUUUGGCAGAAAUGCCUUCUGGAACAGUUGAACUUUCAUGAGCCUUAAUAACAAACUUGUAUGCCAUCUGUAAAUACAAAUAAAUUACGAGCCUAGUUGGUUUAGCCACAGAAAAAUAACCUUCCUGCUAGCCAUGAUUGACUGAGAUAAUGAAUGGGCUGGACAUGCCGAGAGAUGAGUUUUGAAUUGGUCUGCCGUGUAGCAUCUUCUGUCUAUAAAAUGAGCUGCUGUUUCUACUGCUGUUUUUUCGAGCAACCAUGGCAUCUGUGACAGAGAGGGAGAAAGAUCUGAUCAUUCUUAUGGCAUUGCAUACGGUCAGUAUGAACCAGAGCAAGCUGUACAAACAAACCGGAAACGACAAAGGACGUCUUAUUUAAUGAAAGGGGUUCCAGUCUGCCGUGAAGCGUUCAUCCAUGUAUACGGCAAAAUCAAUGACGAGACCCUCAUGCUGCCCGUCUCUGCAUGAUUGAAGAAGGCAAUGAGCUCCUUCGGGUCUUUUUAAAAAUGGCGGGUGGGCAAGCGAAACCUACUGCGUGAUAGUGAAAGGGGGAGUGAAUCCUGGAGGCUUCGUGCCAUGGAUCAUCACCGGAGGCUUCGUACCAUGGAUCAUCAUUGGAGGCUUCGUGCCAUGGAUCAUCACCGGAGGCUUCGGGCCAUGGAUCAUCACUGGAGUGAGGAGAUGUAUGGGCAGCCUGGUGCGUGGAGCUGCCACAGGGCUUACCAGGCUGGGGAGACAUACAGGAGGCCUGGUUCUGGGAGCAGGCACAGGACUCACCAGGCUGGGGAGACAUACUGGAGGCUUGGUUCUUGGAGUAAGUACCGGAUACACUGGGCCGUGGAGGCGCACUGGAGGUCUCGAGCAUAGAGCCGGCACAACCCGUCCUGGCUGGAUGGUUAUUUUUGCCCGGCAAAUGCGGGGAGCUGGCACAGGACGCACUGGGCUGUGCAGAUGCACCGGAGACACAGUGCGCAGAGCCGGCGCAGGAUAUCCUAGGCCGUAGAGACGCACUGGUGGCCAGAUGCGCUGAGCCGGCACCAUCCGUUGGCACCCCCCUUUGGUUGUGCCGUGGCGGAGAUCUUUGUGGGCUAUAUUCGGCCUUGUCUCAGGAUGGACUUGAGCCCUAGGGCCAUGCCUCAGGACUACCUGGAAUGAUGACUCCUUGCUGUCCCCAGUCUACCUGGCAAUGCUGCUGCUCCAGUUUCAACUGUUCUGCCUGCGGCUAUGGAACCCUGACCUGUUCACCGGACGUGCUACCUGUCACAGACCUGCUGUUUUCAACUCUCUAGAUACAGCAGGAGCGGUAGAGAUACUCUUAAUGAUCGGCUAUGAAAAGCCAACUGACAUUUACUCCUGAGGUGCUGACUUGUUGCACCUCGACAACUACUGUGAUUAUUAUUAUUUGACCAUGCUGGUCAUUUAUGAACAUUUGAACAUCUUGGCCAUGUUCUGUUAUAAUCUCCUCCUGGCACAGCCAGAAGAGGACUGGCCAUCCCUUAUAGCCUGGUUCCUCUCUAGGUUUCUUCCUAGGUUUUGGCCUUUCUAGGAAGUUUUUCCUAGCCACCGUGCUUCUACACCUGCAUUGCUUUCUGUUUGGGGUUUUAGGCUGGGUUUCUGUACAGCACUUUGAGAUUUCAGCUGAUGUAAGAAGGGCUAUAUAAAUAAAUCUGAUUUGAUUUGAUAGUAUACAAGAAUGGUCUGAAUGAGAAAUCAUAAUUUAGACCUCGAGGAUGAAUGGUAUUUAAUCUAUGAAUCCAAAACAUCUCUUAUUGUGAGAGCAUUUUUAGGGAGGUUGCCACCUCUGGUGAAUGUAACCUGUUCUAGGCCCACAAAGUGCAAAGAGGAGAGUGGACCUUGUUUGGCUCUGUUGUAACGAGAGCCCGGGAAUGAAGUUACAUUCCCGGGCCAAGAUUUACAGUUAUAUUAUUGACGGCACCCCCUUACAAGCUAUCACAAGAACAAAUAACCUGCUCUCCUUUUGCGACUGGGAUGCCCUGACAGGGGGUCAGGAAAUGGAAAACAGAUGCCUUGUGCAAAUCACCAGACUGCCUGUGUAUUCCAGGGGAAGAGAAGUCAGGAAUUUGAAUUAUUUGUAACAAAGGAAAAUGGUGCAAGUAGCGCAAGGACAAUUAUACACGGGUUAUGAACAAUGUACAGUUGAAGUCAGAAGUUUACAUACACCUUAGCUUAACAUUUAAACUCUGUUUUUCACAAUUCCUGACAUUUAAUCCUAGUAA